GACAGAGGGUGCAAACGUUGUUCGGAAUUACUGGGCGUAAAGCGUGUGUAGGCGGUUUGAUAAGUCGGAUGUGAAAGCCCCGGGCUCAACCCGGGAAGUGCACUCGAUACUGUCAGGCUAGAGUAUCGGAGAGGUUGGUGGAAUUCUCGGUGUAGAGGUGAAAUUCGUAGAUAUCGAGAGGAACACCGGUGGCGAAGGCGGCCAACUGGACGAAUACUGACGCUGAGACACGAAAGCGCGGGGAGCAAACAGG
rnacentral:rRNA from 1 species